rnacentral:rRNA from 1 species
GACGAACGCUGGCGGCGUGCCUAAUACAUGCAAGUUGAGCGCUGAAGGUUGGUACUUGUACCAACUGGAUGAGCAGCGAACAGGUGAGUAACGCGUGGGGAAUCUGCCUUUGAGCGGGGGACAACAUUUGGAAACGAAUGCUAAUACCGCAUAAAAACUUUAAACACAAGUUUUAAGUUUGAAAGAUGCAAUUGCAUCACUCAAAGAUGAUCCCGCGUUGUAUUAGCUAGUUGGUGAGGUAAAGGCUCACCAAGGCGAUGAUACAUAGCCGACCUGAGAGGGUGAUCGGCCACAUUGGGACUGAGACACGGCCCAAACUCCUACGGGAGGCAGCAGUAGGGAAUCUUCGGCAAUGGACGAAAGUCUGACCGAGCAACGCCGCGUGAGUGCAGAAGGUUUUCGGAUCGUAAAACUCUGUUGGUAGAGAAGAACGUUGGUGAGAGUGGAAAGCUCAUCAAGUGACGGUAACUACCCAGAAAGGGACGGCUAACUACGUG